rnacentral:lncRNA from 1 species
AUUUUAGUUUUUAUUAAUGUUUGAUUGUGUUUUCGUUUCUUAUUAUGACCUAUCGUGCGACAUGGAAAACAAAUGUUCUACCAAAUUUUAUUGUUUUCUUACCUGUUACUAACGACUAAACAAGGAGUUCGCCAAUUUCUUUCGAAUUUUACAAGGGGUUCGCAAGAAGAAAAAGGUUGGGAACCACUGCUCUAAGGUCCCAUACUCCUUUAAGAAGAUUCUAUCAGAUUCCAUUUACAUAUUACCCAAGUAUAAAUUAUUACAUUAAAUAAAAUAAAUACUAAUACCCAGAGAUUAAGUCGCAUACUCCCAAGGGAUAUAAAUAUCCCUGGUUAAGAAUUCCUUCUCUAAGAGUUAAUCAUCAUCUAAAUGUAAAAAGAAUUAUCCAAAUUUAAAUAAAUUUUAUAAAUUUUUAAGGAG